GUGUCAGCAGCCGCGGUAAUACGUAGGUGGCAAGCGUUGUCCGGAAUUAUUGGGCGUAAAGCGCGCGCAGGCGGCUUCCUAAGUCCAUCUUAAAAGUGCGGGGCUUAACCCCGUGAUGGGAUGGAAACUGGGAAGCUGGAGUAUCGGAGAGGAAAGUGGAAUUCCUAGUGUAGCGGUGAAAUGCGUAGAGAUUAGGAAGAACACCGGUGGCGAAGGCGACUUUCUGGACGAAAACUGACGCUGAGGCGCGAAAGCGUGGGGAGCAAACAGGAUUAGAUACCCUGGUAGUCCACGCCGUAAACGAUGGAUACUAGGUGUAGGAGGUAUCGACCCCUUCUGUGCCGGAGUUAACGCAAUAAGUAUCCCGCCUGGGAAGUACGAUCGCAAGAUUAAA
rnacentral:rRNA from 1 species